ensembl:lincRNA Gm29348 predicted gene 29348
CACGUGGGAUGUUAACCAGGGCCACCUAGCAGCAAAUGCCCAGGCUGCUUCCAGGACUGCUAUUAUGAAGCUUACAGCAGAGCGACUUGCCAUCAGGAAGGCUCCUGUCUGCCAAGACGCCAGCACGCCCUGCCACCAGCAAUAAUUGCCAACAAGAAUAGCAGACCGUGUAAGAUAAGAAAGAUUGUAAGCUGUUCAGCCAACUAGAAUCGUCUGUGCUAAUGACUGGCAGGCAUCACAGGUUCCUUAUUUCAUGGGACAACCAUCAGAAGCACCAUCUCAGAUGUGCUUGCCAUGAGGAUCAAAUGAGAUGCCAUGAGAAGAUGACACAAGACGUCCAAGCUCUGGGAAGCUGCUGUGAAAUCCAUACAGGGACAGGGAAGCUGUCAGAGGGAAUUUGGGGGCUAAUACUAGCCAGAAGCCAUACAGUGUAAAAGGAUGCUCUGACAGGCAGCUGACAGUGAGCAGCUCUGCACGGGGACGUUAGUUAAGAGGGCUUGUGGACUUAUAUUUUGUUUCAUCUGUGGAGGGAGGGGUAUGUAUGUGUGAGAGCAAGCAUGUGUGUGCUGCAGGAUGCUAAGGGCAGAGGACAGCCUCGGGUGUCAACAGUCUCCUUUCACUGUCUCUGAGACAGGGUCUCUGCUGUUUGCCUGUUUGCACAGGCACCAGGGUAACUGGGAGCUACGGGGAAUUCUCUCAUCUGCACUUCCCACCCAUCCCUCCACAGAAGCACCGAGAGUGCAGAGGUGUGUACUAUCUCAUGAGGUUCACAACGGGUU